ACCUCCCCACUCUUCCUCCUUAUCUCCCUCCUGCUUGGGACCUCUCCCCUUCUCUUCCUUCCUCAGAAUGAUGUAACCACUUCCCUGGACACUCCCAGGUCCAGCCCACAGUGACCCAUCUCUUCCUCAAUACUGCUCUCUCUCUCCCGUGUCACAAGGGCUGCGGUGGGCUAACGAGGGAAGGGAGAAUGUCUGCCUGUGUUCCCUGCCUGAGGAACAUGAACCCUCCUGAGUAAAGAGCUUCUUCCCAGAGAACAGGAUAGAAUUGGGGUGCUUACAUGCCCCCAAACUCUCUGACCACCAGUCACAGCAGAGCUCCAGCCUUCACCCUGAAACACACCCCUUAACUUUAUCUCUGACUUGACUCAGAAGGGGUGUGACUUCCUUACCUAUGGCUACUGAAGAGGCUGAAGAGGAAGAUAAAAGAGUAAAGGGUGAGUAGUAUGAUGAAUCAGCAAUCCCUCUGCUGUAUAUGCUCCCCUCUCAGAAGAAAGACUGCCUCUUCCAGAUCCUUCUGCAGCUCAGCAUGGCCUAUGUAAUGCUCACACGUCGGCUGGGAUCCUCGGAGGAUGCUUUGUUGAUGACUGAGAUGUAGGUGUGGUUGCUGGAGCUCGAGGAUCCCCAUAGGAUCGUGGGGUAGGAGGUUUAAGGAAGACAACUCAAAAGGAGCUGCCUGGAAUUCUGAGGACUUUGUGAACCACCAAGCCAACUCUGAGUUUUAAAAAAUAAAGUCUAUAUAUGAUGUGUAA